rnacentral:tRNA from 1 species
GGAGAGGUGGCCGAGUGGUCUAUGGCGGUGGUCUUGAAAACCACUGUGCCGCAAGGCACCGGGGGUUCGAAUCCCUCCCUCUCCGCCA